rnacentral:rRNA from 1 species
GCAGUCGGACGGGAUUCAAUAGCUUGCUAUUGAUGAGAGUGGCGCACGGGUGCGUAACGCGUGAGCAACCUGCCCAUUUCAGGGGGAUAGCCCGGAGAAAUCCGGAUUAAGACCGCAUAUGAUCACGUUACCGCAUGGUAGAGUGAUGAAAUAUUCAUAGGAAAUGGAUGGGCUCGCGUGACAUUAGCUAGUUGGUAGGGUAACGGCCUACCAAGGCGACGAUGUCUAGGGGCUCUGAGAGGAGAAUCCCCCACACUGGUACUGAGACACGGACCAGACUCCUACGGGAGGCAGCAGUAAGGAAUAUUGGUCAAUGGGGGGAACCCUGAACCAGCCAUGCCGCGUGCAGGAAGACGGCCCUACGGGUUGUAAACUGCUUUUGCACGGGAAUAACCCUCAUUAUGUAUAAUGAGCUGAAUGUACCGUGAGAAUAAGGAUCGGCUAACUCCGUGCCAGCAGCCGCGGUAAUACGGAGGAUCCGAGCGUUAUCCGGAAUUAUUGGGUUUAAAGGGUGCGCAGGCGGGGAUCUAAGUCAGGGGUGAAAGACGGUGGCUCAACCAUCGCAGUGCCUUUGAUACUGGAUUCCUUGAAUAUACCUGAGGUAGGCGGAAUGUGGCAAGUAGCGGUGAAAUGCAUAGAUAUGCCACAGAACACCGAUUGCGAAGGCAGCUUACCAAAGUAUGAUUGACGCUGAGGCACGAAAGCGUGGGGAUCGAACAGGAUUAGAUACCCUGGUAGUCCACGCCCUAAACGAUGAACACUCGAUGUCGGCGAUAGACAGUCGGCGUCCAAGCGAAAGCGUUAAGUGUUCCACCUGGGGAGUACGCCCGCAAGGGUGAAACUCAAAGGAAUUGACGGGGGCCCGCACAAGCGGAGGAGCAUGUGGUUUAAUUCGAUGAUACGCGAGGAACCUUACCCGGGCUUGAAAGUUACUGAAGAUAGCAGAGAUGUUAUCGUCCUUCGGGACAGGAAACUAGGUGCUGCAUGGCUGUCGUCAGCUCGUGCCGUGAAGUGGUUGGGUUAAGUCCCGCAACGAGCGCAACCCCUGUGGAUAGUUGCCAGCACAUAAUGGGUGGGGACUCUAUCCAGACUGCCUGUGCAACCAGAAAGGAAGGCGGGGACGACGUCAAGUCAUCAUGGCCCUUACGUCCGGGGCUACACACGUGCUACAAUGGGGCGGUACAAAGGGCAGCCAACCUGG